UGGUCCCUGUGUUUGUGUGUUGUGGGCGUGGCAUACCUUCCUGGUCUCUGCUGGAUAAUCACCAGAUCAAGCACACCUGUUGUUCAUCAGCUCACCUGCCAUCCAUCAGUUCAUCACCUCACCAGCAUAUAAACCCUGGCUUUUCACCCACACUUCGUCAGAUCGUUUGUUCAGCUACCUUGGUCCACCACCAUCUCCACCACUGGCUUGCCUGCUCUCCACCAACCAUCUCCGACGACCUGUCCUCCGUGCCCACACCAUUCCCUCAGCUACCUCACCGGACCACUCCUGCCAAAUUAUAAUAAAUUCCCUUGUUUGUCAAACUCC